GACGAACGCUGGCGGCGUGCCUAAUACAUGCAAGUAGAACGCUGAAGGAGGAGCUUGCUUCUCUGGAUGAGUUGCGAACGGGUGAGUAACGCGUAGGUAACCUGCCUGGUAGCGGGGGAUAACUAUUGGAAACGAUAGCUAAUACCGCAUAAGAGUAGAUGUUGCAUGACAUUUGCUUAAAAGGUGCAAUUGCAUCACUACCAGAUGGACCUGCGUUGUAUUAGCUAGUUGGUGGGGUAACGGCUCAACAAGGCGACGAUACAUAGCCGACCUGGGAGGGGGAUCGGCCAACCUGGGACUGAGACACGGCCCAGACUUCUUAGGGAGGGAGCAGGAGGGGAUCUUCGGGCAUAGACGGAAGUCUGAACGGGCAACGCCGGGUGAGUGAAGGAGGUUUUCGGAUCGUAAAGCUCUGUUGUAAGGGAAGAACGAGUGGGAGAGUGGAAAGUGCACAUUGUGACGGUAUCUAACCAGAAAGGGACGGCUAACUACGUG
rnacentral:rRNA from 1 species